rnacentral:tRNA from 1 species
GGGUAUAGCUCAGUGGUAGAGCAUGUGCUUAGCAUGCAUGAAGUCCUGGGUUCAAUCCCCGGUACCUCCA